rnacentral:tRNA from 1 species
UCUAAUGUGGCAGAUUAGUGCAAUGGAUUUAAGCUCCAUACAUAAAGAUAAAUUCUUUUAUUAGAA